CAGAGGGCCAGGGAGACAAGUCCACCCCCUCGAGCAACAGGUCUUCCAAAUCUGCUGUCCCGUAGGUCACUCUUCCAUGGGCUACAGGGGGACAGCCUGUUCCACCAUGGUCCUCACCACGGGUUACAGGGAGGGGCACAACCCUGAGUCCUUCCCCUGCUCAUGGGGUCCCUCCCACAAGUAACAGUCCUUCACAGACCUCUCCAACAUGGGUCCAUCCCUCAGGCAGUAGUUCUUCCAUAUCUACUGUCCCGAGAGUCACUUCUCCAUCCUUCAUAGGAUGCAGUCCUUCAUAGGGAUCUAAAGGAAUCCAACCACUUACUUGGAAACUUGCACCCCUGGAAAACUCUUGAUGUUAAAAGAGCUUUACAAUCUACAGGUGAAAUGAUCACAGCUCUCAGAAACUCAUCCCUCAACCUUUUUACUCUCGUCCUUUGUGACCUACCAGCAUCCAGCAUCUGAAGAGGUCCUUCACUUAACACCUCUUUUUCACAACAGGAAUAGAUAUAAGUUUCUCAGAGAUGGAUGUUCCAGCUCUGUUAGUCACUGGGCUGCUUCUAUACUUGAACAUUGAGAACCAUCUCUAGAAAAUGUUUUUCUUUCACUCUAUUAAUGAUACAAGAUGUCCAGAUGAUUCCUGUAGGAAUGACUGUGCUGGGUUGGACCAAUGACUCAUCAACUCAAGUGAUCAACAUGGACUUCUAGGAAAACAGUGCAAGAACAAGCAAGCAUAUUGAGAGCUAUGUCUGUUGAAUAUUCUCCUGGACCCUCAUAUGUUGUGACUCAGGGACCUCUUCAGUCAGAGGAAGAUUCUGUGAUUAAUAGUUUUCAAAGGAUGUUUCUCCAUGAAGUUGUUUGAAACAUCCACAGCCAGCUAGAUAAUGAAUCUGUAGAUGGCUAAAGUUAGAAAGAAGCAGCUCAGUCUCUAGACCCUGUACUUUAUUGCUGUUCUACAGCAAUUUUUUAUUUUUACUCCUCAUGGCAUUGUAUUGUCCCCUUUCUUUCCGCAGGAAAAGAAAGUCAUGAUGUCACAGUAACUGUCAGCCUGAACACUAUUCAGAAGGUGGGGUAUAUCCCUGCGGCAGGCUAAAUCAAGUGGUCAAGGAAAGCAGUGUAAGUGAAGAUCAUAUCCCAGAGAAGCUGUGGAUGCCCCAUGUGUGGAAGUGUUCAAGGCCAGGUUGGAUGGGGCUUUGAACAACCUGUUCUAGUGGAAGAUUAAAGGCUGGAGGAGGAAUUGAGGGAUAAGAGGAAUGAAAACAAGAUGCAGUUCCUUUCUACUCAACAAAUAGCCAUACUCUCUAGAAUUGGCUUGGAGCCAGGACUUUGUUUCAAGUGCACCUCUGAACUUGGCCCACCACACUUCCCAGGAGGUUAAUUGCAUUAAACUACUCCUAAUAUUUUAUUGAAAA